UAAGAUCCCUGAAAGAUGAUCAGGUAGAUAGGUUUGGAGUGGAAGUGUAGCGAUACAUGGAGCGGACAAAUACUAAUCGAUCGAGGACUUAACCAAAA
rnacentral:rRNA from 1 species